GCCUGGGUGGCUCAGCCGGUUGAGCGUCCGACUUCAGCUCAGGUCACGAUCUCACGGACCGUGAGUUCGAGCCCCGCGUCAGGCU
rfam:Felis catus isolate Cinnamon breed Abyssinian chromosome B3, whole genome shotgun sequence.